GGGCCGGUAGCUCAGUGGUAGAGCAUCCGACUUUUAAUCGGAUGGUCGUGAGUUCGAACCUCACCCGGCCUACCA
rnacentral:tRNA from 1 species